AGCGGCGCGCGGGGGCACCUUGGCGGCGAGCGGCGGACGGGUGAGGAAUGCAUCGGAAUCUACCUUGUUGUGGGGGAUAACGUAGGGAAACUUACGCUAAUACCGCAUACGACCUACGGGUGAAAGAGGGGGACCUUCGGGCCUCUCGCGAUAAGAUGAGCCGAUGCCGGAUUAGCUAGUUGGAGGGGUAAAGGCCCACCAAGGCGACGAUCCGUAGCUGGUCUGAGAGGAUGAUCAGCCACACUGGAACUGAGACACGGUCCAGACUCCUACGGGAGGCAGCAGUGGGGAAUAUUGGACAAUGGGCGCAAGCCUGAUCCAGCCAUGCCGCGUGUGUGAAGAAGGCCUUCGGGUUGUAAAGCACUUUUGUUGGGGAAGAAACCGACCGGGUUAAUACUUCGGUUGAAUGACGGUACCCAAAGAAUAAGCACCGGCUAACUUCGUGCCAGCAGCCGCGGUAAUACGAAGGGUGCAAGCGUUACUCGGAAUUACUGGGCGUAAAGCGUGCGUAGGCGGUUAGUUAAGUCUGUCGUGAAAGCCCCGGGCUCAACCUGGGAAUGGCGAUGGAUACUGGCUAGCUAGAGUGUGUCAGAGGAUGGUGGAAUUCCCGGUGUAGCGGUGAAAUGCGUAGAGAUCGGGAGGAACACCAGUGGCGAAGGCGGCCAUCUGGGACAACACUGACGCUGAGGCACGAAAGCG
rnacentral:rRNA from 1 species